CGGGUGAGUAACGCGUGAGGAACCUGCCUCAAAGAGGGGGACAACAGUUGGAAACGACUGCUAAUACCGCGUAAGCCCACGGCUCGGCAUCGAGCAGAGGGAAAAGGAGCAAUCCGCUUUGAGAUGGCCUCGCGUCCGAUUAGCUAGUUGGUGAGGUAACGGCCCACCAAGGCGACGAUCGGUAGCCGGACUGAGAGGUUGAACGGCCACAUUGGGACUGAGACACGGCCCAG
rnacentral:rRNA from 1 species